AAGUUUUGAUUUGUAGUUUUGUGAGAUACUUACCCUUCUCCUUCUGAGCUUAGGCACCACAACAAACUACAACACCCAGGAUUCCAUAGGAUGGAGCUAUGGCAGUUAAAGCGAUGUCAAACUACUAAUAUUCUGCAGUGUGGAUGGAAGCCUCUGAAUCCAGUUUGCAUAUUGAGCUUCCAGGAACUAUUUUCAACUUCCAAGGGCAUUUGAGCAUGAAGAACACAUUUCUUGAUGUCUUUAGCUACAAAUUGGCACGCAGCUGGGCUUGCAGUAACACUGUGAGGAGGGGGCCAACAUCUUCAAUUCGCUGUUUAUUACCCAGGAAGUUCUGAUCAAGUUUAUGGUUCUAAGGACUUCAACAUAUCAACUCCACCGAAGAACAGGACAAGCUAUUGUAAAUAUGAACCAUCAAAGCACCAGCCAUUUCAAUGAAAUGAAGCAAAUCAAUUGUUUUUCAUAAAGGUGCCUUUCAGAUCUCCUUUUUCAUCUUCUCCAUUUCCAUAUGCUUGACUAUGGGGUGAAAUAAAUUAACGAUGAGGA